AGAUAUUUCAGUAAAACCCCUACUUUACUUUCUUUUCCUUUCUCUGUUGAUGGGAAUCCCAACUAUUACACUUAUAUUAAGGAAACAAGCCUAUGUAAUGUGCCACGGAGCAUAAGCUGAACCCUAGCUGACCUGAUACACAGAUGGAGAGAACAAUACUGUAGACACUGGUGUAUAAAGACCAGCCGAAGAACAUGCUUCCCAAUAACGUCACCAUCCGACCACCCACUGAUGACGUCAUAUCUAUUCCAGAACCCACCUACAGAAGACAUAAUUUCCUGUUUCGGCUGCCCUGAUCCAUCCUCUUCCUGUUUCAGCCAUAUAUUUAAUCCAGUC